rnacentral:lncRNA from 1 species
UUUACGUUUGCGUUCGCCAUGUUGUUGGAAGGAUAUUAUAACGUUUCGACAAGCUUCGUUUUUCUGACAUUGAGCAGUCCAUUCACUCUGUAUAAAAUAUUCUUGGGAGAAAUAGACGACAGAGAACUUCGGGCAGGACACGGAAUCGAAACCGGCUUGAUGGAAAUCCGAAAUGUUUCCACGGGUCAAUCAGACUAUCUUCACGAUGAUAUUCAGAAUCGCGAUUGUUAGUUUAAUAGGCCUACACAUCUAUUAUCUAAUUAUCUAUUUAUAGAACAGUGUUUUGUUUAAUAUGGUUUAAAUUUACAGUUAUCUG